rnacentral:misc_RNA from 1 species
UUUCCGUAGGCGAACCUGCGGAAGGAUCAUUCAUAAUAAGUGUUUUAUAGCACUUUUUUAAAUCCAUAUCCACCUUGUGUGCAAUGUCAGGGUUGAUUUUUCUCUCGAGAGGAUCAACCCCAAACAUCAACUAUAUCUCAACUCUUUGUCUGAAAAAUAUUAUGAAUAAAACAAUUCAAAAUACAACUUUCAACAACGGAUCUCUUGGCUCUC